UACGUAGGAUGCAAGCGUUGUCCGGAUUUAUUGGGUUUAAAGGGUGCGUAGGCGGCGUAUUAAGUUAGUGGUGAAAACGUUCGUCUUAACCGAAUACCCGCCAUUGAUACUGAUAGACUUGAGUGCGACAGAGGGUGUUGGAAUGUGUGGUGUAGCGGUGAAAUGCUUAGAUAUCACGCAGAACACCAAUUGCGAAGGCAGAUGCCUAUGUCGUAACUGACGCUGAGGCACGAAAGCGUGGGGAGCAAACAGG
rnacentral:rRNA from 1 species